UUAGUAGCGAAGUAGCUGAUUUCACACUGUCAAGAAAAGUCUCUAUCGAGGUUAAAGGUACCCGUACCGCAAACCGACACAGGUGGGUGAGGAGAGUAUCCUAAGGCCAGCGAGAGAACUGUUGUUAAGGAACUCGGCAAAAUGACCCCGUAACUUAGGGAUAAGGGGUGCCACCAUCAGGUGGCCGCAGAGAAUAGGCCCAAGCGACUGUUUACCAAAAACAUAGGUUUCUGCUAAGUCGCAAGACGAUGUAUAGGAGCUGACGCCUGCCCGGUGCUGGAAGGUUAAGGGGAUCUGUUAGAGCAAUCGAAGCAGUGAACUUAAGCCCCAGUAAACGGCGGCCGUAACUAUAACGGUCCUAAGGUAGCGAAAUUCCUUGUCGGGUAAGUUCCGACCCGCACGAAAGGCGUAACGAUUUGGGCACUGUCUCAACAACAGACUCGGUGAAAUUGUAAUUCCGGUGAAGAUGCCGGAUACCUGCGACAGGACGGAAAGACCCCAUGGAGCUUUACUGUAGCUUGACAUUGGGUCUUGGUACUACAUGUACAGGAUAGGUGGGAGGCUUUGAAACCAGGACGCCAGUUUUGGCGGAGCCAUCCUUGGGAUACCACCCUUGUAGUACUGGGACUCUAACCAUAGGCCAUGAAUCUGGUCUUGGGACACUGUCAGGUGGGCAGUUUGACUGGGGCGGUCGCCUCCCAAAAGGUAACGGAGGCGCUCAAAGGUUCUCUCAGUACGGUCGGAAAUCGUACGUAGAGUGUAAAGGCAAAAGAGAGCUUGAUUGCAAGACAUACAGGUCGAGCAAGGAUGAAAAUCGGACUUAGUGAUCCGGUGGUUCUGCGUGGAAGGGCCAUCGCUCAACGGAUAAAAGCUACCCUGGGGAUAACAGGCUUAUCUCCCCCAAGAGUCCACAUCGACGGGGAGGUUUGGCACCUCGAUGUCGGCUCAUCACAUCCUGGGGCUGUAGUAGGUCCCAAGGGUUGGGCUGUUCGCCCAUUAAAGUGGUACGCGAGCUGGGUUCAGAACGUCGUGAGACAGUUCGGUCCCUAUCCGUCG
rnacentral:rRNA from 1 species